GGACGGCUAGCAGCUGCAAGGGACAACCGAAGCUUCACCAUUUCUUUCUUCCAAAACUCAUCCAAAUCCUUACCAAAACUUCCAUAGAUUCUCACCAAACUUCACAUUCAUUUAGCUUUUCACUUGGACAACAACUUAGCUGCAAAAGGAAGGAGCUAUCCACGGUUUCUUCAAGCUUCAAAGGGCCGAAAAAUCUGUCCAAACCAGCCAUCAAAGUAGGCACGCACGAGAACCUCCAAGAGGACCCUACUGUGGAAGUUUGAACUCUUCCUCCAAUUUACUUGCUUGCAUAACUUGGUUUGAAUUCGGAGGUAAAAUGGAGCAGCCCUCUUGAUGUAUUUUUGUUUUAGGGCUUGCUAUUACUUUUGGUUAUGCCUUUGGUUUUGGAUUGUACUUUUGGUAUGGAAAUGUAACCUUUGGACGAAAUGUAUUAUGUAUACUGACGUGUGGUUUGGAGACUGGAUGACUGUUAUUAAGUUUGAACACUUCCGCAUUUAUUGUAUCUAAGUUAUCGAUU